GGACGCGGCUCGUCCCGCCCCCGCGGCACCGCGCCGUGCGCGGCCGCAAGGGCUUUUUGGGGUGAGAAUCCCUGCGGGUCGAGCCUCACCGGUGCCAUUGUCUGCCCCACGUGCAGGCCUUGGGAGGAUUCGGUUUCGCUCAUAGAUGCGAUUCCUCCCAGGCCGAACGCGGGAAGGCGAGGUAAACAAAGAGGGGAGGUGAAAACUUGGAGCCAGGUCGUCACUAUAGCAAUUACAUCCUGUAGUGUAUAAAGCACUUUUUUUCUUUUUUCCUUUUUUUUUUUUUUUAUUUUUAUUUUUUUUUUUUUAGUGGAGGCCUUAAUGACCGUUUCCACGUGAGGGAGGAGAAUGAACCAGACGGUUCACUAGCAGAGGCUUCCGCGGUUCUUCAUCAUGUCUUGAUUCCGUGCAAAAUUACAGUGUCUCAAGAUAAAAUCAGCAAUGGGAAAUAACUGAAUGGAUAUAAAAAAAGGAAAUUUGUCCAGAAGUUGAGAAGUUAUGAUUUCUGUAAAGCUUUGUGUGUAAAGCUCCUAAUAAUGUAUUUCUCAAGAGUUAGUUUAGGUGCUCAGUUAUUCAGAAAUAAAGUGUUUGAAAAACCCUC